rnacentral:rRNA from 1 species
AUUGAACGCUGGCGGCAGGCCUAACACAUGCAAGUCGAGCGGAGCGGCGGACGGGUGGGUGAUGCCUAGGAAUCUGCCUGUUAGUGGGGGAUACCGUCCGGGAACGGGACCUAAUACCACAUACUUGCAGAUGGCCCUAGGUUGGAUUAGCUAGUUGGUGGGGUAAAGGCCUACCAAGGCGACGAGCCGUAACUGGUCGGAGAGGAUGAUCAGUCACACUGGAACUGAGACACGGUCCAGACUCCUACGGGAGGCAGCAGUGGGGAAUAUUGGACAAUGGGCGAAAGCCUGAUCCAGCCAUGCCGCGUGUGUGAAGAAGGUCUUCGGAUUGUAAAGCACUUUAAGUUGGGAGGCGGUACCAACAGAAUAAGCACCGGCUAACUUCGUGCCAGCAGCCGCGGUAAUAC